GGUCAAGUUAUUAAGGGUGCAGGGCGGAUGCCUUGGCACUAGGAGCCGAUGAAGGACGUGAUAAGCUGCGAUAAGCUUCGGGGAGUUGCACGUAAACUUUGAUCCGAAGAUUUCCGAAUGAGGAAACUCACUUAGAGUAAUGUCUAAGUAUCAUUAAGUGAAUACAUAGCUUAAUGAGGGGAACUCAGGGAACUGAAACAUCUAAGUACCUGAAGGAAGAGAAAGAAAUUCGAUUCCGUAAGUAGCGGCGAGCGAACGCGGAUUAGCCCAAACCAAUAAAGUUUUCUUUAUUGGGGUUGCGGACAUAUCAUAACGAAGAGGUAUCGUAAUUGAAGAGGUUUGGAAAGACCCACCACAGAAGGUAAUAGUCCUGUAUGUUAAACGAGAAGACUUUAGAUAUGAUCCAGAGUACCACGGGACACGUGAAACCCUGUGGGAAGCAGGAGGGACCACCCUCCAAGGCUAAAUACUACCUAGUGACCGAUAGCGUAUAGUACCGUGAGGGAAAGGUGAAAAGAACCCCGGGAGGGGAGUGAAAUAGAACCUGAAACCCUGCACUUACAAGCUGUGGAAGCACAUUUCUUGUGUGACCGCGUACUUUUUGUAGAACGGGCCAACGAGUUACGUUAAGUAGCAAGGUUAAGCACUUAAGGUGUGGAGCCGUAGCGAAAGCGAGUUUUAACUGAGCGUUCAGUUACUUGACGUAGACCCGAAACCGGGCGACCUACCCAUGAGCAGGAUGAAGCGAAAGUAAAAUUUCGUGGAGGUCCGAACCCACGAGCGUUGAAAAGCUCGGGGAUGACUUGUGGGUAGCGGUGAAAUUCCAAUCGAGCCCGGAGAUAGCUGGUUCUCCCCGAAAUAGCUUUAGGGCUAGCCUCAAGGUGAGAGAUACGGAGGUAGAGCACUGAAUGUCCUAGGGGGUAUUGCACCUACCGAAGACUAUCAAACUCCGAAUGCCGUCAUCUUAUACUUGGGAGUCAGACUGUGGGUGAUAAGAUUCAUAGUCGAAAGGGCAACAGCCCAGAUCGUCAGCUAAGGUCCCUAAAUGUAAGUUAAGUGGUAAAGGAUGUGGGAUUGCACAGACAACCAGGAUGUUGGCUUAGAAGCAGCCACUCAUUCAAAGAGUGCGUAAUAGCUCACUGGUCGAGUGAUCCUGCGCCGAAGAUUUCCGGGGCUAAAACUUACUACCGAAGCUACGGCAUCAGUAAUGAUGGGUAGGGGAGCUUCCCAUACGGGUUGAAGCAUGACCGUAAGGACAUGUGGACAGUAUGGGAGUGAGAAUGUUGGCAUGAGUAGCGAGAUGUGGGUGAGAAUCCCACAGGCCGUAAACCCAAGGUUUCCAGGGGAAGGUUCGUCCGCCCUGGGUUAGUCGGGACCUAAGCUGAGGCCGAAAGGCGUAGGUGAUGGACAACAGGUUGAUAUUCCUGUACUACCGAUAACCGUUUGAGAGAAGGGAUGACACAGUAGGAUAAGCUAAGCACACUGUUGGUUAUGUGUGCCCAAGCAUUGAGGCAGUCAAAGUAGGCAAAUCCGCUUUGAUAAUGCUGGGAUGUGAUGGGGAGCGAAAUUUAGUAGCGAAGUAGCUGAUUUCACACUGUCAAGAAAAGUCUCUAUCGAGGUUAAAGGUACCCGUACCGCAAACCGACACAGGUGGGUGAGGAGAGUAUCCUAAGGCCAGCGAGAGAACUGUUGUUAAGGAACUCGGCAAAAUGACCCCGUAACUUAGGGAUAAGGGGUGCCACCAUCAGGUGGCCGCAGAGAAUAGGCCCAAGCGACUGUUUACCAAAAACAUAGGUUUCUGCUAAGUCGCAAGACGAUGUAUAGGAGCUGACGCCUGCCCGGUGCUGGAAGGUUAAGGGGAUCUGUUAGAGCAAUCGAAGCAGUGAACUUAAGCCCCAGUAAACGGCGGCCGUAACUAUAACGGUCCUAAGGUAGCGAAAUUCCUUGUCGGGUAAGUUCCGACCCGCACGAAAGGCGUAACGAUUUGGGCACUGUCUCAACAACAGACUCGGUGAAAUUGUAAUUCCGGUGAAGAUGCCGGAUACCUGCGACAGGACGGAAAGACCCCAUGGAGCUUUACUGUAGCUUGACAUUGGGUCUUGGUACUACAUGUACAGGAUAGGUGGGAGGCUUUGAAACCAGGACGCCAGUUUUGGCGGAGCCAUCCUUGGGAUACCACCCUUGUAGUACUGGGACUCUAACCAUAGGCCAUGAAUCUGGUCUUGGGACACUGUCAGGUGGGCAGUUUGACUGGGGCGGUCGCCUCCCAAAAGGUAACGGAGGCGCUCAAAGGUUCUCUCAGUACGGUCGGAAAUCGUACGUAGAGUGUAAAGGCAAAAGAGAGCUUGAUUGCAAGACAUACAGGUCGAGCAAGGAUGAAAAUCGGACUUAGUGAUCCGGUGGUUCUGCGUGGAAGGGCCAUCGCUCAACGGAUAAAAGCUACCCUGGGGAUAACAGGCUUAUCUCCCCCAAGAGUCCACAUCGACGGGGAGGUUUGGCACCUCGAUGUCGGCUCAUCACAUCCUGGGGCUGUAGUAGGUCCCAAGGGUUGGGCUGUUCGCCCAUUAAAGUGGUACGCGAGCUGGGUUCAGAACGUCGUGAGACAGUUCGGUCCCUAUCCGUCGCAGGCGUAGGAAAUUUGAGAAGACCUGUCCUUAGUACGAGAGGACCGGGAUGGACGUACCUCUGGUGUACCAGUUGUCCUGCCAAGGGCAUGGCUGGGUAGCUAUGUACGGAAUGGAUAAGCGCUGAAAGCAUCUAAGCGCGAAGCCAACUUCAAGAUAAGAUUUCCCACCG
rnacentral:rRNA from 1 species